rnacentral:lncRNA from 1 species
CAGGCGGCGCGCUUGCGUAGGACCUGCAGUGCUUUCCCUACGGAGCCAGGGUGGCAGCUUGAGGCUGGACCCUGCCGUCUAUCUGGUCCAUUCUUUUGCCUGGCGGGGUGCCCCUCCUUGGGGCUUAACCCCCCGACUCCGCCCGAGGCUGGUCGGCUCUGAGACACCUUGCCCCCAUCCCUGACUGGGGGAGCGGUGGUGCUUGAGGGACGGCCUCUGGAACCCCGAGGAUUUGAGCUUUCCGCUAACCUCUGACCAGAAGGCACGAAAAGGGGUGACUCAGGAGCAGUCCCCGCCUGUCUUUCAAGCGAGGGAUAGUCUUUCGGAAGAGUUUCAUCCUGGGCCACAGGGCUGUAUCCCAAAGGAGCAGGGGUCUCUCCCACAGUCACAUUCUCAGAGUGUGAAAGGAGAAGCAACUCUCCGCCCAAGGUUGUCCUGGGGGUCCUGGGCCUGUGGAAAGAGCUUCCAGGGCCCAAGAUGCCAAGACCCAGAUUCUGUCCUGCCACUUGCAGACUCCUGUAGUGGGGGAUACACCCUGGAGGAGAGAUCUGUGAGAAUGUGUGAAAAGCUCCUGCAGCAGGAGGAGAGGGCGUCCUCUAACAAGGAGGUAAAGAGAGGCAGAUUUGGAUGAGUGCAGGAGAAGGGGGAGCAUGUGGAGAGGGGGUGACAGUGGAAGCAAAGGGUUGGCAGGAAAAUUAACCAGCCCCUGAUGUGCCAGCAGGACCCUGGGCCCCCACCGGGCAGGUUGGAGGAGGUUGGAGGAAAGGCCCUAAGUCUUGGUUCUCACUGUGGGGAAGAACCCUCAAUCCCAGACUUACAAGGCCCAGAGCAGGGCAGGAACUCGCCUAUGGUCACAUGGCAAGAGACCAGAGCUGUCCCUGUCCGGGGCCUUGCCUGGCAGCUGUAGGCUUCCCUCAAGGGAGAGGGUCGUUCUUGGCAGCAACCUGGUGCCCUGGGU